rnacentral:misc_RNA from 1 species
GAAACAUCUAAAAAGACAGGGAGAAUCAUGUGGGGAGAAGUCAAGAUAUUCUAAUUUGGACUCUCUAGCAUUCAGCUGAAAUCUCGUUCUUCACACAAGAAUGCUUAGAAGUAAUUCUGCGAUUAACAACAAGAAUGAAAUAAAAUCAGACAUUCUAAUGGCAAUCAACAAGCCUCUGCUAUACAGUCUGCAUGCUCACAAGCACACUGAGAACAUUCAAUUGAGGGUGAUCUAACCCAAAUCACUACUGCCUUUCAAAGGAAGAUCUGACACCAGUGGCUCCAGAGUGCCAACAGUAAUUUAAAAAAGCAAAGUCUUUGCUACCUCUUCCCAGAAGCAAAACUUUUAUCCAGCAAUAUUUCAUAUUCUUUUAUUUUCAUGACUAUCCAACACACUCAGAU